rnacentral:rRNA from 1 species
UUAAGAUCUGGAUGAUGCUGGAAGGAUGUCCAAGAAAAGCUUCUAAGCUUCGAAGCACACGUGACCGUACUAAAACUGACACAGGUAGGUGAGACGAGUAGUCUAAGGCGCUCGGGAGAACGGUGAUUAAGGAACUCUGCAAAUUGGCCCCGUAAGUUCGCGAUAAGGGGCGCCUCGAAAGAGGCCACAGAAAAUCGGCACUAGCGACUGUUUAUCAAAAACACAGGACGCUGCUAACACGUAAGUGGAUGUAUAGCGUCUGACGCCUGCCCGGUGCUGGUAGGUUAAGGAAGGCGGUUAGCUCCCUCGGGAGUGAAGCUGGCGACCGAAGCCCCAGUAAACGGCGGCCCUAACUAUGAGGGUCCUAAGGUAGCGAAGUUCCUUGUCGGGUAAGUUCCGACCUGCAUGAAAGGCGUAACGACUGGUGCACUGUCUCAAUCACCGACCCGGUGAAAUUGUAGUCGUGGUGAAGAUGCCACGUACCCGCGGUUAGACGGAAAGACCCCAUGAACCUUCACUGUAGGCUGAUAUUGGGUUGAGGUAUCUCAUGUGUAGAAUAGCUGGGAGGCAUUGAUCCGGGCGCGCUAGCGUCCGGGGAGUCGACGUUGAAAUACCAGCCUUGGUAUACUUUAAUUCUAACUCUGAUUCCGUGAAACCGGACAGAGGACAGUGUCAGUUGGGCAGUUUGACUGGGGCGGUCUCCUCCUAAAGAGUAACGGAGGAGUACAAAGGUCCAUUCAGCCUGGUCGGCAAUCAGGCGUAGAGCGUAAAGGUAUAAGUGGGCUUAACUGCGAGACAAAUAAGUCGAGCAGAUACGAAAGUAGGUCUUAGUGAUCCGGUGAUUCCGAAUGGAAGGGUCAUCGCUCAUCAGAUAAAAGGUACUCUGGGGAUAACAGGCUUAUCGCAUCAGAGCGUCCACAGCGGCGAUGCGGUUUGGCACCUCGAUGUCGGCUCAUCACAUCCUGGGGGUGAAGAAGCUCCCAAGGGUUUGGCUGUUCGCCAAUGAAAGUGGUACGUGAGCUGGGUUCAGACCGUCGUGAGACAGGUCGGUCCCUAUCUGCCGUGGGCGUUCGAAACUUGAGGAGAUUCAACUUUAGUACGAGAGGAUUUGGUUGGACGUAGCUCUGGUGUACCAGUUGUCAUGCUAAUGGCACGGCUGGAUAGCUAACUACGGAAAGGAUAAACGCUGAAAGCAUCUAAGCGUGAAGCCCGCUCCAAGAUUAGGUUUCGUGUACUUUCGAGUACGAAGUCCCCUGAUAGACUAUCAGGUUGAUAGGCCAGAUGUGUAAGCACGGUAACGUGUUCAGCUAACUGGUACUAACGGACAACAGCUC